CUCACUAUCUAGACGCUAUGGUGUAAACCAUGUAACUCAGCAGUAAUAUAAGUUCUCUCAUGAAGUUUUUAGCCUAAAUGUAAAACUAAUACAUACGAAAAUUACACAAAUUUAAUUUUGGUGAUGCGUGUUUCAGAAAACAACAGACUCAAGACCUCAUUUCUGUGGUCGAUUGUCCAAUCGAUCGACUACCGUAGGAUCCAGAGUGAAAUUGACUUGCAGUGUGAUCGGUUAUCCGGAGCCAAAAAUUGAAUGGUACAAAGAUGGACUCCCCAUUAUCCAUAAAAAACGAGAUUUCAAGUAUCAUGUGAAGUUGUACAAAGGUCUCGCUAGUCUGGAAAUUUUCGGAGCACAAGUGAGUGACUCAGGGAACUACACCUGCGUGGCCACAAAUGACUACGGAAGAUCCAUCACAGCUGCCAACAUUCAAGUCUUCCCUGACUACGAGACUCAGCGAAUGUCAGAACUUUCGAACCGAUCCAUAGAAUCGGAUUUCCUCCACAUGCGUUGUAUAAGGACUCGUUCUCACCUCGACCGAGCUCCAUCCUGAGGGACCUGACUCAUUCCGACCACUUAUCAGCUCCCAAAGGUGUGGACAUCGACGGUGACCUGUUCAGCCCCAGAUCUGGUCUGUCGUCGCCCGAUUACGGUAGGCCUGUCGUCACGACUUUAGCCUCGGAGAACUUCGUGCCGGCCGGUGGAACUGCUGCAUUGCACGUCCAUUUUAAGGGCACCCCAUACUCAGGACGUAACCUGGCUGAAGGGUAGCACGCCGAUCUCAACGUCCUCCUCGCUACGCUACAGGUACGUGCGGGAGCCGGACACGCAUACACUCAUCGUAAGUGACGUCACCCCGGAGGAGACGGGGAAGUACGUCUGCCGGGCAUACACCGGGCUCGGAUACGUGGACACGACGGCCACUAUCGAAGUCGUGUCCGCGGGCAACGUCCGCGGCAACAACCGCCGGCGAUGUUCGUCAACCGCCCCAGCACCAGCCUCACCUUCUCGUCGAGUCGUCGGCGAGGACAUCACGCUGUCCUUCAGGGUCGCCGGAACACCAAGCCCAAAGGUUCGUUUCCGUAAAUUUAUCGUCAAAGAGAAGGAAUGUCAAUACACGUGUUGCACGCAAAGUCUGAAAUGCACUCAUAACUUCAGAAUCUGCGUAAGAACUUUGCGAGUUUUUGAGCUUCCCGCUUCAAAAACGAUACUACGGCACAGGUGAACACUUUGCUAGAGGAGUCGCUCCAUCGUCGGCAAUAUUCAUCAUGGCCGACGCUUCCGCAAUUCCGCGCGUAAUUCGAGGAGAGGUCAAGGUCAAUCAAGGCGGGGGAGGAAAUAUGAACGUAAACACGCCGUUUGUUAGCUGGUCUAAUCUGUUCAGGUGUUAUCUCGUCCCAUCACACGUGUUUUGGCGAAUUGGCGUCGGCCAUGAUGAAUAUUGCCGACAGUGGAACGACUCCUCUAACAAAAUGUUCACCUGUGGUCCGUAGUAUCGUUUUUGAAGCGGGAAGCUCGAAAAAACGCAAAUUUCUUACGCAGAUUAUGAAGUUAUGAGUGCAUGUCAGACUUUGCCGAUGCGCUCAUCGUGAUUUUUGAGGCAUUAUCUGUAAGAAAACAACUAUUAGUUUUGCUCUAGCAAAAGUUUGCAACAGGCCCAUUGUCAGGGAAUUUCACUCCAAUGUGUCAGAGAAAUUAAGGAAGCGUCGGGGAAUUUCAUAUUCUAAAUUUUGUGGCAACACUGUAGAGUGCCUUUAUAAAUGGUGUCUAGGACCUAUAUAAUAACCGGCAGAGGCGUAGGAAGGGGGGGCCUGCCCCCCUAGAAUUGGAAAUAGUAUCAUCUGGCCCCCCCAGAAAUUCUGGAUGUUGCAAAAAAACCUUCUUCAACGGUAAGUCUCUGUCGCCGUGGCCCGUGAGAGGAUGCUUAUAAAUAGAAAAAACCUGUUGAAU
rnacentral:lncRNA from 1 species